rnacentral:rRNA from 1 species
AACGAACGCUGGCGGCAUGCCUAAUACAUGCAAGUCGAACGAGAUCUUCGGAUCUAGUGGCGCACGGGUGCGUAACGCGUGGGAAUCUGCCCUUGGGUUCGGAAUAACUUCUGGAAGCGGAAGCUAAUACCGCAUGAUGACGUAAGUCCAAAGAUUUAUCGCCCAAGGAUGAGCCCGCGUAGGAUUAGCUAGUUGGUGGGGUAAAGGCCCACCAAGGCGACGAUCCUUAGCUGGUCUGAGAGGAUGAUCAGCCACACUGGGACUGAGACACGGCCCAGACUCCUACGGGAGGCAGCAGUAGGGAAUAUUGGACAAUGGGGGAAACCCUGAUCCAGCAAUGCCGCGUGAGUGAUGAAGGCCUUAGGGUUGUAAAGCUCUUUUACCCGGGAUGAUAAUGACAGUACCGGGAGAAUAAGCUCCGGCUAACUCCGUG